AGGUGGGAGGAUUGCUUGAGCCUGGGAGGUGGAGGUUGCAGUGAGCUGAUAUCGUGCCACUGUACUCCAGCCUGGGCCACAUAGUGAGAUCCUGUCUC
rnacentral:miRNA from 1 species